ACUUGAGCUGCAGAGCGAUCCUGUAUGGUCACAUAAUAAUCCAGUCGGCAUUGUAGAGGAUGUUUCUUGGCGCGUGGUAAUGCCAUCUGUGCUCGUUCACUUGACUGACGACGUUCUCAACCCUCUCAGAUGGUAAUAAUAAACUGAAGAUAUACCUUGCCUGUGAAAAUGCAAAGUUCUGCAACUAGUUACACGUCAUCCAUUGCAGGUAAUAAUAAUCUGAAGAUGUGCCUUGCCUGUGAGAAUGCAAAGUUCUCCGCUAGUCACAUAUCAUCCAUUGCAGCAGGAUAAUAUUUUGAAAAUCCAAGGAGUUUAUGAUGAGCACAUUUGUUUGCACUAUUGUGUAUUUUCUAUAAGGGCAUACAUACAGAGAUCUGGAGGCUAUUCAAAGGUACUAUAAAACUCUUUACAGUUGUGGUUUCUAUUAAUGAAUGAGGCGCCCAAAUUGCUUACACAGGCAUAUAUUGGGGGGAAUUCAAGCUUGAAUUCUACAUGAAGAAGGUCCAAUUAAAGAACCAGAAAGAUGCUG